UAUGUUAAAAACUAUUUCUGCACAAUUAGAAGUAUUGACGACAAGAGUAUCCAAUAUUGAGAAAAAGAUGGACAGCUAUAUGAAAGAAAAUGUAAGUUUAUAUAGUUCUAUAAGUAUUCAUCAAUAUAGAGAACGUAUUGUUUUGUUAUUGUAUCCUCUAACUGCAUACAUACAUAUCUCUUUUCAGAUAAUUCAUAAAAGCGAAGAAAUGGCCCAACAAAAAACUGUGCGCGAAUGUAAGGUUUUAAUUAGAAAAAUUCACCAUUCAGUAUGCCGACUGACUGGUGAAGAAAUAGAUAGUAUGCAAACCGAAGUUGCCUCCACGCUACCAAUAACAACGAUAGCUGCAGCAUUGGAAAUGGACGAGAAACUGAAAUGCGAGGAAUUUGCUACUGCAACGAAACAGUUUAUUUUAAAAACAAAGGGAAAUUCAGAUAAUGUA